UGGAUUAUAGCUCAAUGGUAGAGCAAUCGGCUGUUAACCGGGAGGUUGUGGGUUCGAGUCCCACUUUUCCAGCCA
rnacentral:tRNA from 1 species